rnacentral:rRNA from 1 species
CAGGAUGAACGCUAGCGACAGGCUUAACACAUGCAAGUCGAGGGGUAACAGGGUAGCAAUACCGCUGACGACCGGCGCACGGGUGAGUAACGCGUAUGCAACCUGCCUAUAACUGGGGAAUAGCUCCCUGAAAGGGGAAUUAACACCGCAUAACACUAUUGAUUCGCAUGGAUUAGUAGUUAAAUGUAGCGAUACAGGUUAUAGAUGGGCAUGCGUGACAUUAGCUAGUUGGUGAGGUAACGGCUCACCAAGGCUACGAUGUCUAGGGGUUCUGAGAGGAAGGUCCCCCACACUGGUACUGAGACACGGACCAGACUCCUACGGGAGGCAGCAGUGAGGAAUAUUGGUCAAUGGGCGCAAGCCUGAACCAGCCAUGUCGCGUGCAGGAAGACUGCCCUAUGGGUUGUAAACUGCUUUUAUAGUAGAAGAAACACAUCUACGCGUAGAUGUCUGCCAGUAUACUAUGAAUAAGCAUCGGCUAACUCCGUGCCAGCCGCAGC